UAGAAAGGUGACGGGUGAAAGCACUUGUGU
rnacentral:piRNA from 1 species